UCCUUUCUUCAUUCCCCUCUUUCCUUCUAUUCUCUCUUUCUCUCUCUCUAGUUUGUGGCACAUUUUUAUGGGUUUGAGAGAAAAUAUUGCAGUGCAGAAAGCAACACUGAAAUCUCCACAAGGUUUCUUUAAAGCUUUUGGCGCGUAUGAGUGGAGUAAAUCCAGCAGCUUCAAGCCAAAGGCUGCAAAAACUGGAAACUGUAAGCCUAAUGGCAUCUUUAGCUGAUGGAAAGGUUAGGGGCCACCUUAGCCAGGGCUUUGUUUUAGUCAUCUGCACCUGCAACUUCUUCAUUCUCAUUCUCAUGAUGGGAGUUACCUCUUCAUCUUAAUUUCGGUGCUAUCUUAGCUGAGCUUUCUCAUCACCUUUUCUCGUUUUCUAUUUUUCUUUUCUCUUCUUUUUUAAUUUUUUGACUUGUUGCUUUUUAUUCCUCCACCUAGCCGAGUCUUCUUGACCUUGUAAGACCUUUUAUUGACCUUGUAAGACCCCGUGUUUUGUGUUAUAUUUUUGUGUUUUGUAUUCUCGUAAAUCUUACAUCAUGGCUUUUCGAUGUAGAAUUUGUUUAGUGUCCUUCUUUGUUCCCGCUCAACUCAUGUUCUCCUUCCUUGUCUAUCCCUCCUGAGCUAUUUACACAUGUUCCUAAAGAUCUGAAUUCAAGAAACAUGAUCCGAAGAAAGAGUACUACUAUUUGCCAUUAAGAGUGGUACAAAUGCAAAUUCAUGUGAUUAUUUAUAUACCCUUUUGUUCCUAUUUUUGGGGGGUUAUGAAUGUGAAUUUGGAAUAAAUAUUGUACUAAAUCCUAUGUAUGGAUUGAAAUCAUUUAUGGCCGGGAAAUUACAUAUUCUAAUGGUACGGCCAUUUUUUUCUCUAUUC